UAAUACUGUGAUUAAUUAUUUGACAUGAGAUGGUGUUGAUACAUGUGUUGAUGAUGUAUGAUGAUAUGCAUAAUGUUGUGAAUGUAUAUAGUAUGCAUGUAUUUGUGAAUGGACUGUUGUAUGGCUUAGAGUGUGAGCAUAUGUCCAUUGUGGAUUGUUGUUGAUGUUGUAUUGCUAGAUGAUUAGCGUGCAUAGCAUAGCCCUUGGGGUUGUA
rnacentral:lncRNA from 1 species